AUGCUAGUUAAACAGAAUGAGAAGAAUAAAAUUAUUUCUUUAUUAUAUGACCAUAAUAUAUUUUCCCAAAUGGGCUUAAAUAGUUCGACAGAGAAGACUUCUACACAUGAAAUUUUGUAUGAAACGAGAUUGCGAUUUAUGAGCUCCGAAACGAAGGAUGAAAAAUGUGUUGAAGAAAUAAACACUUUUCUUCAAGACAUUUUAAAAUUGAAAGAAGGUCCUGAUUUGGUUAUUGGGGACACAUACAACGUAUUCCUUUUCAACGAAAGACUUGAUAAAGCCUUCAAAAAAUUAAUAAACAAAAAAUAUAAACAAUUAAAAAUUUUUUGGAUCUUUUUUUUUUUUAAAAACUUAGAAUUUUGUUUACGUGAAACUAAAAAUUUUUGUAAUAAUUAUUAUUCUUAAGCAAAUUUUUAAAAUAAUUAUUAUUAUUAUUAUUAUUAUUAUUAUUUUUUUUUUUUUUUUUCUUUCUUGUUUCUUGUUUCAAAUGGCACCUUUUACUGUUUUUAAGAACCUUUUUGCAAUGUUAAAACAUAAGAAAUAAUUUUGUAUAGUGUUUUUAUUUUAUUUUUUUUUUUUUUUUUUGUUUUGAAAUGAAAUGAAAUAUUGUGGCUCAUUUUUGCUUCAUUUACUUAGUUCUGCUUUAUUUGCUCAUUUUUGCUUUAUUUGAUUUUUUUUUUUUUUUUUUUUUUACUUUUGCCUUGUUAAAUUAUGCCACAUGGCAAAAGUAUAUGUUAUCCCAUUAACGAGUAUAUAUAUAUACAUACUAUUUUUUUUACUACUAACACAUAAAACGAAAUAUUCUAUACAGUAUUGCCAUUAUUCCACCCCUCAAAAAAAACAUAUAUUUUC
rnacentral:lncRNA from 1 species